rnacentral:misc_RNA from 1 species
CAUACGUACCCGCCAACGAACCUCAUUCAUCUUCCCUCCGUCGCACGGCGGUGCCACCUGGCGCACAUAUCAUGGGUAGUCACUCCAAAAAAAGCGGCAAGGGCGGUGGCGGCGCGCAUGCGCGGCAGGCCCGGCAGAGGCAGCAGGGUCAGGCAAAGGUGCUCAAGAAGGACCUUGGCGUGCCUGACCUAAAGGACGUGGCGCAGCGCCUGACGCAAACAGCACAGCGGCGCACGCACAGCGUCUUGAGCAUUCCGCACAUGCACGGCGCCGAGGAGGUCGGUGGGUCUCGGCUGAGUAACAGCGGCGUGAGCGGCGGAUGUCUUCGCCUCACCAACCUCAUGCGCGGUGGUGGCGCUUUCGGGAAAGGCGGCGUCUGCUCUCAGAUUCGCGGCAAGGCCCUGCAGCAGGUCACUCAGAGCGCAGAGGGCGCCGGCAGGACCGAGUCGACCUUGGCGGACCGCCGCCGCGAGAUGCUGACGCUGGCGCUUCGUACCUCAGAGAAAGUGCAUGACUACGAGGCCCCAAUGCAGCUGUUUUGCCAGGACGGCGCCAGCGAGGGCUGCGCGGAGGAGGACAACGUGUGGCUGGAGGAUACGACGCGCCGCGGGCAGGAUCGCUCGCUGCAGCGUUUCUAUAAAGAGUUUCAUCGCGUCGUCGAGAACUGCGAUGUGCUGCUGCAGGUGCUGGAUGCCCGCGACCCGCUCGGCUGCCGACUUACGCAGCUCGAGAAGAACAUUCGCUCAACCUACGGUGAGGAGCGGAAGAAGAUGGUUGUGGUGCUGAACAAGGUAGACUUGCUGCCGUCGAAGGAGGUUCUGGAUGCGUGGAUCCACUAUUUUGAGCAGCAGGAGCAGCUCAUGUGCAUUCCGUUCGCAGCCAACGCCAAAGGCUCACUGGGGCAAACGUACGUCACGAACCUGUUUCGGCGGUUGCGCUCAGUCGCCCGCAGCGGCGAGACGGGCGAGCGCAAGGCUAUUGUUGUUGGGGUGAUCGGAUACCCGAACGUAGGGAAGAGCUCCAUCAUUAAUGCGCUAAAGCGCAAGCACGUUGUCGGCGUCGGCAACAUGCCCGGGUUCACGACAGGAAACACCGAGGUGGAGCUGCGGUCUGACAUCCGCGUGAUGGACUGCCCCGGCGUGGUCAGCCCCGGCGAGGACAGCGGCGACGUGGUUCUGCGCAACGCCAUUCGGGUUAGCGAGCUGGUAAAUCCGUUCUUGCCAGUGCAGCGUCUCCUGCAGCGAUGCACGGCGGUGCAGCAGGCCGAUGACCAUGCCAACACCGACGUUGCCACCCACCAGGCGUUGCGCAACAGCGGGCUGCACCCGUUGGCUCUGUUCUACGGCAUUAGCCAGUUCCGCGAGAACGACGUGAUGGACUUCAUUGAGCAAGUCGGGAUGCGUCGCGGACGACUCACACGUGGUGGCCAGGUGGACGAGGAGUCGACAGCGCGCAUGAUCCUUGCAGACUGGAACGAUGGCCGCAUUCCGUACUACACAUAUCCGCCUGCUGUCGACGAGCUCUUCCUGCGCAGCGACGACGCCUACCGCGCCGUCAACAGCAGCGGCUGCCUCGGUGGUGGCGCUGAGGAUAGCAGUACGCAUGCGGAGCUGGUCUCGGCAAAGGCGCGCGGCGUGACGCUGGACGGACUGCCCACGUUUCACCUUCACAUGGAUCUGAUCGAGCAGCAGCAGCAACGCACAAAGAAGCGGUGGAAGCAGAGCGACGUGCCGUACGAUGACCCUGACGGCGACGAUGGGGACGAGAUGCUCUAGUGCAAUCCCGCUGCCGCAGGUGCGAGAAGGGGGGGGGGCGGGGCAGUCUGCGCGGAUGUUGGUGCGCCAUGUGUGUGCGUGCUGGGAGGAGCGUGCGGGGGGUGGGUGGGACACGGAAGGCGGCAUACCUCAGCGCUUCUUUUUACCGCGUGUGCCCUUUACCCCCCUCCCAAAACACACACAUACACACACACACAGAUGGUCUCUCUUGGCACUCUCUGCGCAUCGUCGAUGGAAGGGCAAGGUACUUGCCAAGAGGCGCAGAGUGCGUGCGUGAGCACACACUCAACGGAACGUUAAACCUCUGAUAAGCAUACACGAUUUUCAGGAUAGCAAUGG